rnacentral:piRNA from 1 species
UGCCACUGGUUGGUGAUGUAGAGAAGCUCU